rnacentral:rRNA from 1 species
UUAAAAAAAGUGGCUUUUGGUUAAAGAGUCAUCUCUGAAGCCCUAGCGAAAGCAAGUUUUAUCCGAGCUCUUGUCAUUUUUUUUAGACCCGAAACCGAGUGAUCUACCUAUGACCAGGGGAAAUAGGCCCGAACCGACUAAUAGUGCAAAAUUAGCGGAUGAGUUGUGGGUAGGGGCGAAAAACCAAUCGAACUCGGAGUUAGCUGGUUCUCCCCGAAAUGCGUUUAGGCGCAGCAAUAAAAUAAAGUAAUGAAGGGGUAAAGCACUGUUUCAUUUGGGGGCUUCGAAAGUUGUACCUCGGUGUGGCAAACUCUGAAUACUUCGUUAAUAUUUUUUAUUAGUGAGACUUUGGGGGAUAAGCUCCAUAGUCAAAAGGGGAACAGCCCAGACCACCAGUUAAGGCCCCAAAAUGAGAAUGCUAGUGACAAAGGUCGUGAAUCUGCCAUAACUUCCAGGAGGUUCGCUUAGAAGCAGCAGUCCUUUAAA